rnacentral:misc_RNA from 1 species
AAGUCGUAACAAGGUUUCCGUAGGUGAACCUGCGGAAGGAUCAUUAACGUAUCUACCCUCGGGGGGUGCCGUUGGCCCUGCUCCGGCAAAAACUGCCGUGCAGCGGGCUGCUGCCUCCCCGAACCACCACAAACCCCACUGUGCACCAUUCGCGGUGGAGGGUGCGGCGUGAGCCCACCUGAAGCCGUGGCAUUUACAGACGCCGUCUCAGAAAUGUCUCGCGGACUUGUUUCCGCCCAUAAACUUAACAACUUUCAACAACGGAUCUCUUGGCUCUC